AACGAACGCUGGCGGCAGGCUUAACACAUGCAAGUCGAACGCCCCGCAAGGGGAGUGGCAGACGGGUGAGUAACGCGUGGGAACGUACCUUUCAGUUCGGAAUAACUCAGGGGAACUUGUGCUAAUACCGGAUACGCCCGCAAGGGGGAAAGAUUUAUCGCUGAAAGAUCGGCCCGCGUUGGAUUAGCUAGUUGGUGGGGUAAAGGCCUACCAAGGCGACGAUCCAUAGCUGGUCUGAGAGGAUGAUCAGCCACACUGGGACUGAGACACGGCCCAGACUCCUACGGGAGGCAGCAGUGGGGAAUAUUGGACAAUGGGCGCAAGCCUGAUCCAGCCAUGCCGCGUGUGUGAUGAAGGCCUUAGGGUUGUAAAGCACUUUCACCGAUGAAGAUAAUGACGGUAGUCGGAGAAGAACGCCCGGCUAACUUCGUGCCAGCAGCCGCGGUAAAAUCUCUAU
rnacentral:rRNA from 1 species